AACGAACGCUGGCGGCGCGCUUAACACAUGCAAGUCGAACGCGAAAGUGUAGCAAUACGCGAGUAGAGUGGCGCACGGGUGAGGAACGCGUAGGUAAUCUGCCUCUAAGACCGGGAUAACCAGUCGAAAGACUGGCUAAUACUGGAUACGACAUUCAGGGCGUAAAGCUUUGGAUGAGAAAGGGUGGCUAGUAGCAAUACUAGCUGUAGCUUGGAGANGAGCCUGCGUCCCAUUAGCUAGUUGGCGGGGUAAGAGCCCACCAAGGCGAUGAUGGGUAGCUGGUCUGAGAGGACGAUCAGCCACACUGGAACUGAAACACGGUCCAGACUCCUACGGGAGGCAGCAGUGGGAAUCUUGCGCAAUGGGGGAAACCCUGACGCAGCGACGCCGCGUGGGUGAAGAAGGCCU
rnacentral:rRNA from 1 species